AGCACCUCCUAAUUUCAAUUUUUAUAUAACGUGUUUAUUUGGGACAUAUGAAAGCUCCCUAUUGUCAGCAUACAGCGAUCUUAAGAGCAUGAUACACAGAAGGAUGCAGAGGGCUAAAGGUGGACAAUUGGGAGCUGAUGCUGGGCAGCGUGUUGGGACCAGUACAAAGCCUGCUCCAGGAGGAGUAGCCCACAGAGGAAGGUCAAGGAAAAAAUGAAACCUUUCCAAGCCAGAAUCCUUCAAGCAAUUAAUCUGGAUAAAAACCAUGAGAUGAAGACAGCGGCCACAGAAAAUAUCAAUCCUGCAGAAAUACCUGGUCAUGCAUAUGCCAGCUUUUCAGGAACAAUGGAGAAGUCUUGAAAGUAUCACAUAGAAACCACUCUUUGGAAGUUGCUUUUUGGACCAGAACAGAAAUUAAAGCGAUGGAAUGAAGGAGAAAAAAUAGUGCAAGGGGUUAAAUUGGCUGAGCUGCGAAAUGUAGAGAUUAUUCUCAACUGCCAGUUGUUGGUGAGUUGCUUUUGAAGAGAUUCAGGGCGUUUUGAGAGUAUUAUCAAAGAUGCAGACCAGAAAAAAAUGAGAAACUAUACAGGAGCAGGGACAGUUGCAUUCGUGCCAGUGUCAAAGUUCACUGUACAGAUGUUUUAAUUUCUCAUUAUAAGAUGGAUCUGGAAAUACUGAACACAUCAAAAGAAAGAUCUGUUGUGAUGUGAUGAUUUUUUUUGAGAGCUACAUACCGUGAGAGAGCGUCUGUCAUCCAAGUUAUUCCAAGACUGUUUUGUGUUCCUGCUGUGGCUGUGAAUGACAGCUCAAUAUAGUGCAUGUGGAGGAGAAAAAAGGGAGAAACUCUUGUUCAGAAUGAAGGCUUCUAUGUGCCUAACAACAGCCAUAAUGAACAACUACAUCUUCAAAUAACCCUGAAACUCGAACUUAAGGUGAUUUAAGCAUCCAUAUUCACUCAUGUAUUAGUGGGUGAGAUGAAUCAGAUUAUCUCAAACUGUGGCAUCCUAUGGAAAAUCAAAGGCAUGCUGGGCUGUUACCUUUCAGAAAUUGAUUUCUCACAAGGAUCCUUUACCUCUUUGUCUGCCAUCAUGGAACUGUCCCUUGCCUGCCUUAAUAAACUUUAACCCUCUGGAUAAAGAAAACACUAAAAAUAAAACAAACAAACAAACAGUUUGUCCCAUGAGAUGCUUUUGCCUCUAACAGAAAGAGACAUUUCAGAAUGGAUGCCGAGUAUAAAAUGUUUUGUAUUGUUUAUGUUUUUUGCUUUAUUGAAAACCUUCUACUAAAGUAAGAUUCAAGGCAGAAAUCAACUGUAACUUUGUCCUGAGGCCAAAGUUAGAUUUUUAUUUUUCUAAUAUAGCUUCCAGUCUUAGUCCAUGUGCAUAUUCACAAGGCUGCAUCUUGACACUUUCAUCAUAUAGUGAAUUUUGUAGUCUACGAAUUUACUUAAUUUUAUACUGUGGAUUCCCCCACCCCCACCCAUUUUCCUACAGCUGUUUUUUAUUGUUAUUUUUGUUGCUGUUUACCUCUCUCUCCAAUUACCAUUGAUUCCACUCCACCCCAUCACUUUUCAAGUGUAAUAAAUACUACCCACCUUGGUAUGUACCAUUUCAGAUUAUUUUUCUGGUCAUACAAUCUGUGGUAGGCAGGGUUCUAAAAUGACUCCUGGUGGCCCAGGACUGUACAUAAUUCCCAUUCAUUGAGUGUGGGUGGGACAUGUGAAUAUGAUGUGAUACCACUCUUGUCAUUAGAUUGCAUAAUACAGCCAUUUGGAGGGAUUUUGCUGAUGUAAGUAAGGUCCCUAAUGAGUUCACAUUGAGUUUAUCUGGGGUGGGGCUGACCUAAUGAUGUAAUAAGGCCUUAAAAGAGGUCCUGAGUCCUUUCAGAAAGGAGGAAAAUUCUCCUGCUGGCUUUGAAGAAAUAACUUGCUAUGCUGAGACAGGACAAUGUGGCUAGAAUCUGAGGCUGGCCUGUAGUAGCUGAGAGCAACCCCUAGCUGAUAGCCGGGGAAAAAAAUAGGGACCUCAGUUCAACAGUUGCAAGAAACUAAACUCUGCUAACAACCUGAACAUGCUUGGAAGAGGACCUCAGCUGAGCCCAGCUGACACUUUGAUUCUACUUCAUAAAACACUGAGCAGAGAACCAUGUCCAGAUUUAUGACCUAGAGAAAC